GGCUAAGUCUUUUGGAAAAAAGUACCACAGAGGGUGAAAGUCCCGUCUGGGCUCAAAGACAAUUACCGUCGGAGCAUUUUCUUAGAGUCGCGUUCCUUGAGAUUGGAGCGCUAAUUAGGUGAUAAAUUUCAUCUAAAGCUAAAUAUUAACGAGAUUCCGAUAGCAUACAAGUACCGUGAGGGAAAGAUGAAAAGAACUUUGAAAAGAGAGUUAAAAGUGACUGAAAUCGCUAUAAGUGAAGCGGAGUGUUUGGGUGUCUAACAGUUCUUCCUGGUUGGUUUGCUGACCAUGGAAGUGCUUGUGGUGACUUUGGGAUAGAUUAUAGUUGGUGAAUACAGGUUAAAGAAACUAUAGCUUGCUAUUGUUUCUUGAUCCUGAAUUUCAUUAACUUAGAUCUAGCUUUCUAAUAUUAGUAUAACUAAUAUUAUAAAAUCUCAAAGAAAUCCUUUCUCUCCGUCCCGUCUUGAAACACGGACCAAGGAGUCUAAUUUAUGUGCAAGUACAAGGGUGGAAAACCCACGUGCGAAACGAAAAUAAUUGUUAGGAAGGGUAACCUGCACUAACACCCAUCUUUCCAGAUGAGGUUGAGCAC
rnacentral:rRNA from 1 species